rnacentral:rRNA from 1 species
AUACGUAGGGGGCGAGCGUUGUCCGGAAUGAUUGGGCGUAAAGGGCGCGUAGGCGGCCCGGUAAGUCUGGAGUGAAAGUCCUGUUUUUAAGAUGGGAAUUGCUUUGGAUACUGUCGGGCUUGAGUGCAGGAGAGGUAAGUGGAAUUCCCAGUGUAGCGGUGUAAUGCGUAGAGAUUGGGAGGAACACCAGUGGCGAAGGCGACUUACUGGACUGUAACUGACGCUGAGGCGCGAAAGUGUGGGGAGCAAACAGGAUUAGAUACCCUGGUAGUCCACACUGUAAACGAUGAAUGCUAGGUGUAGGGGGUAUCGACCCCUUCUGUGCCGCAGUCAACACAAUAAGCAUUCCGCCUGGGGAGUACGGCCGCAAGGUUGAAACUCAAAGGAAUUGACGGGG